AAAGAACUAAAUGAAAAUACAAACAAAAGCACUAAAUUUUGGUUGAAAGUCUGGCACGACUGGGCUUUGGCGAGAGAAUAUGAUGUUGACAUUGAGAAGUAUCCAAUUUUGUCAUGCUAAUAAUAAACAAGUAUUCAUGCGAUGUUGUUCGUACAAUUAGGGAUUAAUAGUACUCGUGAUGUUUGGAAAUUUCCCAAAUUGGACUCGCCCCGGCAGCUCGUCCAAUU